rnacentral:rRNA from 1 species
AGCCCAAGACGCCUUGCUCGGCCACACCCUCAAGGGAAUUCAGCAGUAAUAAACAUUAAGCCAUAAGUGAAAACUUGACUUAGUUAAGGCUAAAAGGGUCGGUAAAAUUCGUGCCAGCCACCGCGGUUAUACGAAAGACCCUAGUUUACAGGCACGGCGUAAAGGGUGGUUAUGGGUUGGACAAAAUAAAGUCAAAGAUCUUCAAAGCCGUCAUACGCCCACGUAGACACGAAGCCCAAGUACGAAAGUAGCUUUACCAAAUAGUACCCGACUCCACGAAAGCUGGGAAACAAACUGGGAUUAGAUACCCCACUAUGCCCAGCCUUAAACCUAGAUGAAAAUUUACAAAAUCAUCCGCCAGGGGACUACAAGCACAGCUUAAAACCCAAAGGACUUGGCGGUGCCUCAGACCCACCUAGAGGAGCCUGUUCUAGAACCGAUAACCCCCGUUAAACCUCACCACCUCUUGUUAAUACCGCCUAUAUACCGCCGUCGUCAGCUUACCCUGUGAAGGCUCAACAGUAAGCAAAACGGGCUAAACCCAAAACGUCAGGUCGAGGUGUAGCGCACGAGAUGGGAAGAAAUGGGCUACAUUUUCUACCACAGAACACCACGAACAGCGCCCUGAAACAUGACGCCUGAAGGAGGAUUUAGUAGUAAAAAGCAAAUAGAGUGUCCUUUUGAAUUAGGCUCUGAGACGCGCACACACCGCCCGUCACUCUCCCC